AGAGUUUGAUCCUGGCUCAGUCGAACGAUGAUCCCAGCUUGCUGGGGGAUUAGUGGCGAACGGGUGAGUAACACGUGAGUAACCUGCCCUUAACUCUGGGAUAAGCCUGGGAAACUGGGUCUAAUACCGGAUAUGACUCCUCAUCGCAUGGUGGGGGGUGGAAAGCUUUUUGUGGUUUUGGAUGGACUCGCGGCCUAUCAGCUUGUUGGUGAGGUAAUGGCUUACCAAGGCGACGACGGGUAGCCGGCCUGAGAGGGUGACCGGCCACACUGGGACUGAGACACGGCCCAGACUCCUACGGGAGGCAGCAGUGGGGAAUAUUGCACAAUGGGCGCAAGCCUGAUGCAGCGACGCCGCGUGAGGGAUGACGGCCUUCGGGUUGUAAACCUCUUUCAGUAGGGAAGAAGCGAAA
rnacentral:rRNA from 1 species